GCUGGUGUAGCUCAGUCGGUAGAGCAGCUGAUUCGUAAUCAGCAGGUCAUGUGUUCGAGUCACACCACCAGCU
rnacentral:tRNA from 1 species